rnacentral:rRNA from 1 species
GAGUUUGAUCCUGGCUCAGAUUGAACGCUGGCGGCAUGCCUUACACAUGCAAGUCGAACGGCAGCACGGGAGCUUGCUCCUGGUGGCGAGUGGCGAACGGGCGAGUAAUGCAUCGGAACGUAUCCUGGAGUGGGGGAUAACGUAGCGAAAGUUACGCUAAUACCGCAUAUUCUGUGAGCAGGAAAGCGGGGGACCUUCGGGCCUCGCGCUCUUGGAGCGGCCGAUGUCGGAUUAGCUAGUUGGUGAGGUAAAGGCUCACCAAGGCGACGAUCCGUAGCAGGUCUGAGAGGAUGAUCUGCCACACUGGAACUGAGACACGGUCCAGACUCCUACGGGAGGCAGCAGUGGGGAAUUUUGGACAAUGGGGGCAACCCUGAUCCAGCCAUGCCGCGUGAGUGAAGAAGGCCU